GUCUAAACACAGUGCACUGACUGCCAAACUAUGCCAAACCAUACAGUUAAUGCUUUGAUGCUCGCUGAGCUGAGCUGUGACGAGAAGAAGGAUGAGCAUCAGCAAGAGCGUCUUAAGACACGAAGAAGACGUGAACAUGCUGCGACUGUCCCCCAUGCGCCAGUGGAGUGUGCAAGUAGAUUUGAGUGCCGUGUGAGUGAUCCCCGCUUCCAAAGACGAGGAUCUACAACGUCUCCUGUGAGGAGGUUUUGCACGCUGUCCUCAUCCUCUGUGUGGAGUCAGCAAACAAAAGAUGAGUGUUAGCAAACACAACACUUUUGACUGAGGGAGUGAGACGUAUCCCUCCCUCGGGACACUCCUCGUCUUCGAUCUGUCUGUAAAACACAUGUCGAAUAAGAAAGUAAUGAGGCUCUUCUGGUUCGUGACAUGUAACAAGCCUAGAGAGACGGAUAUGUUCUUACGGAAGGGAGAGCACAUUCAGCACCAUGGACAGCUCAUGGAGAGGACAGAAUUACAGUCAAGCGCCAAAGUAGUGUAUAAUGCUAUAUAUGAGCUAUAAUGCUAUAAGCUACAGGGCUAUGGUGCUACAAGGUACACUAUAAGGCUAUAAAUUAUAGUGCUAUAAGCUAUAAUGCUAUAAGGUAUAAUACUAUAAGGCUAUAGUGUAUAAUGCUAUAAGUUUUUGUUAUAUGCUAUUAUGCUAUAAACUACAAUGUUAUAAUUGUUAUUAGGUAUAACGCUAUAAGCUGCAGUAUAUUGUCAUAAGGUAUGAUACUAUAACACGAUCGUGUAUAAUUCCAUAUAAGCGAUAAUGCUAUUAGCUUGUGUGCUAUACAUAAUAAGGUAUACAUAAAGGUAUAAAUUCUAAGCUACAGUGUUGUACGGUAUAACACUGUAAUGUAUAAGCUGUAACGCCAUAAGCUAUAAGCUUAUGGCUACAAUAAACGUUAGAAGGUAUAAUGCUAUAAGCUAUGAUACUAUAAGUAGAGUUGGGCAUCGAGCAUCGAUGAGAACCAGGAUUAACAUUCCGAUUCUCCCGAAAUCGUUAAUUUUUUAAAAUUUCUAUGCCUACGUUCAGUGAUCAACCAGCCUGCCAACCGGCAAAAAUGGCAACAUAACAUAACCAACGAAGAAGAAGCCGACUGCCCUGUCUUUGAUUCACUAUGCCGGACUUUGUCCAACCAGUGUCAGGUAAGUAAAAUAAUAAAUUACGUCGGUCUUAUGCCAACAUUGAAGGAGCAAACAAAUUAUACUUGAUACUGCAAAUACGGUGACAAACUCAAAUAUCCAGCUAACGUAAGGCUGUGUGCUUUUUCACAAGACAAAUGACCUGACGUUAACGCUAGCUUUAAGCAGGAAGUUGACCAGACCCCGCUUUAAGUGUUACUCCAUUCACCGUGGUUGUUUACUGUGGUGAAGUUAGUUUCACGUUGGCCUUUCGUCUCUGUCGCUGUUAAUUCCACGUUGGCAGUUGGAUAUUUGGCUCCGUAGCAACAGCGGUAGUUACCUCUCACUGUACCCGGACUGCUCUGUAACGGUGCGGGGAGCUCGCACGGGAAGUGUUGCUCUCGUCGCUGGUUUGUACUGGGGACCAUCAAUAAAUUACCAUUGUGUUGAAGAGAGUUUGUUAAAAAAAAGCAAUAUAUUCUAAAUCAAACCAUCAACUUUGUUUUUUUAAUGAGGUUUUCAAAAAUAAGUACUCCCAUGUAAAGGGUCUUCAAAACAUUUAUGUUCAAGUUCAAUUGUCUGAUAUUUAUAUACAGGUUAAAAAACAGCCCUGUGAGAAAUUCAUCGUAAAGUAAUUCCUAAAAAGUUAAUAUAAUUAAAAAAAUCAUGGAGACAUUCAGACAUUUCACCCAAGAACUUUGGUUAGCACCCUCAUUUAAACCAUGCAAACUUUUAUGAGCCCACCACUGAGAAGAAUCGGAAUCGAGAAUCAUUAGAAAACAGAAUCGAAACAAGGACUCUCAAUCGGAACCGGAAUUGCUCAAAUUGAAUCGAUGCCCAACCUUAGCUAUAAGGUAUAAUGCUAUAAAGUAUAAUACUAUAAUGUUAUAAGCUAUAAUACUAUAAGGUACAAUGCUAUAAAGUAUAAUACUAUAAUGUUAUAAGCUAUAAUACUAUAAGGUACAAUGCUAUAAAGUAUAAUACUAUAAUGUUAUAAAGUAUAAUACUAUAAUGUUAUAAGCUAUAAUACUAUAAUGUUAUAAGCUAUAAUACUAUAAUGUUAUAAGCUAUAAUACUAUAAGGUACAAUGCUAUAAAGUAUAAUACUAUAAUGUUAUAAGCUAUAAUACUAUAAGGUACAAUGCUAUAAAGUAUAAUACUAUAAUGUUAUAAGCUAUAAUACUAUAAGGUAUAAUGCUAUAAAGUAUAAUACUAUAAUGUUAUAAGCUAUAAUACUAUAAGGUACAAUGCUAUAAAGUAUAAUACUAUAAUGUUAUAAGCUAUAAUACUAUAAGGUACAAUGCUAUGAAGUACAAUACUAUAAUGUUAUAAGCUAUAAUACUAUAAGGUAUAAUGCUAUGAAGUACAAUACUAUAAUGUUAUAAGCUAUAAUACUAUAAGGUAUAAUGCUAUGAAGUACAAUACUAUAAUGUUAUAAGCUAUAAUACUAUAAGGUACAAUGCUAUAAAGUACAAUACUAUAAUGUUAUAAGCUAUAAUACUAUAAGGUACAAUGCUAUAAAGUACAAUACUAUAAUGUUAUAAGCUAUAAUACUAUAAGGUAUAAUGCUAUGAAGUACAAUACUAUAAUGUUAUAAGCUAUAAUACUAUAAGGUAUAAUGCUAUGAAGUACAAUACUAUAAUGUUAUAAGCUAUAAUACUAUAAGGUACAAUGCUAUAAAGUAUAAUACUAUAAUGUUAUAAGCUAUAAUACUAUAAGGUACAAUGCUAUAAAGUAUAAUACUAUAAUGUUAUAAGCUAUAAUACUAUAAGGUACGAUGCUAUAAAGUAUAAUACUAUAAUGUUAUAAGCUAUAAUACUAUAAGGUACAAUGCUAUAAAGUAUAAUACUAUAAUGUUAUAAGCUAUAAUACUAUAAGGUACAAUGCUAUAAGGCGGGGGUGUGACUUUGAUACAGUUUGUACAUCAAAGAUGCUAAAACCAACCAAUGUAAAUAUAUGCUAAGCUAUCGGAACAAAGCAUCCACAUCUUAGCUUUGUGUCAUAGGUGAUAAAAAGCACAUUAGUGUAACAUCUAAUAAUAUAUCUCAAUAAUGAAUUAAUUUUCUUUGUACAAUAUGCCAAAAGCCAAUAAAAACCAAGCUGCGGGCCGCACUUUGGGCAUACCUGCUAUAAGGCACAGAGAGGGUGUAUAUGAGAGUGAUGCAGGAUGAAGAAUAACAUCCAAAAGAGCAAGUGGAGACAUUCAUCCUCCCAAAUGUGAUGCUUCAGACACGUUGUGUAAUGAAAGGCAGUGAUGCUGACUUAACGCAGCGAGCCGCGGGACAUGUCAACGCACGUGAGGACGGUAUCAGCGACUCCGCCAAGGUCACGGCGGCUGAUACCGCACGCACACGCUUGAAGUAAAUCAAUUAAGUGGCUCAGAGUCAAGUUGCACUCCUCUGUAACAACGGCGUCCACUAGGCUGUGGUUAGAUGGCGGUUGGGGGUGGUACUAAAUCCGGAGGUCCUGAGAGGUCGUCCUUGUGUGUUUGGACUUCCCAAAACGAGGCGCUGUCACGGCAAGGUUUUAUGGAGCUUAUCAGAGACGCCAGCAGUCAGCAAGACCAUCUCCAUCACGCCUUAUCUCCCUCUGCACUCUUGCCCCCGCAGCUCCCUCUGCUUGCUAAUCUAGAUUUAUGUCCCUCUAUGCUCCUUGUUUGUCCCUCUGUGUCCGCACAGGACACAUGGAACCUUGCAGUACGCACGCACGCACGCACGCACACACACACGCACGCACACACACACAAAAUGGGCUGCCAUUUGAAAGCAAAAACACACUUAAAGAAAGCAGCAACAAAGCUCCACAUACAGUAUAUCCAGUAUAUCCUUUGACUAGUGCUGAUAUGAGCAUUAGACAUCACAUUCAAAGUCAAUGGGGUUCUUGCGGCAACGGCGCACAGUGACCCCUGAACUUUCAGAAAUACGGACUCAUUUGACCUUUGACUCCUUGACCUCAAGCAUCCUCAAACCUCACCCUUUCGCAUUCCUACAUCUUAGCUGCUCAAAAUGCAACUGUUCACAAUUGAACUGUUUUAAUUCAAAUCAGUGACUGAAUACUGCCAGAGAGUUGAAGGAAGAGAAUCGAUGAUGCACUAGACCGACUUUUGUCUGCGUGGUGUAAAAAACCAACAGGGUUCUUGCUCUGACAUGGGACGGUAAUGAACACCGUGAAAGCUUGAAGAGUUGUGACUCAUGGAGAAGUCUCCUGCCCAAAAAUAUCACACUGGGUAUUAUUCAAAAUCAAUACCGACUCCCCCACCGCAACCCAAUGCCUGCAGAGAUUAUUUGUGUGUGUGUGUGUGUGUGUGUGUGUGUGUGUGUGUGAGUAUUUCAGCUUGUUUUUAUCAGGGCGGACAUAUUGGUUUGAUGCUCCGUGGUGUGUGUGUUUACUGAGUGUGUGCACACACACACACACACACACACACACACACAGACACAGACAGAUAAAUGAACUAGUGCAAAGAAAUAGGAGCCAUUGUUGUCAGACAAUAAUUGCACACUAAUCUCAGCGUAAUCUCUGCACCAACAACACAAUAAAACUCUCUUUUGUCUUCCUGACAAACUUUCACUUUCUCUCUCUUCUACUUCUUUACUUGUCUUCUUUACGCCCAGCAAAGAUGGCGCCCGCCCACUCGUUCCAUUUGCCUUGCCCGCCCGCCCGCUCGCUCGUCCGUCCGUCCCCGUGUCCACCCACAGAGCUUCUCCUAAUGCUUUUGUAUGAAUAAGACAUGAGGGGACGAGGCGGUGGAGUUCUGUCACAGCCUCUCAGGGACCGAAGGGGGAGGGUGGAGGAUGAAAGAUGCGGGACGGGGUGGUUCGAGGGGUUAGAAAUGGAU